CAAACCCUAAAAUCUGAACAAAAAAAGUCACAAAAUCCCAUCCCGCCGUCGUAAACCCAGAUCGUGUGGAAUCUCCCCUCCCGCUGUCGAAACCAGAUGUGGCUAUUCAUCUUCCAAACGGGAGAUUUCCCUUCUCUCUCACCCGUUUUCUAUUUUCUCCUUUCUGUUUUCGCUUCAAACCCUAGCCAAUCUAAUCUUUUCCCUUGAAACCCUAUCUUUUCUCGUCGCAGACGUAGAAACAGUCGUGCUAAUCUUCAUCUAUGAUUCUAUGAAGAAAGAAGAAAGUAAGCAACAAAUAUUUUUCGAAGGAUUUACAUGUGGUGACCAUUGUUUAUGACUUUGUGCUUUUCUCAUUCAUGAUGUUCAUACUGUUGAUGCGUAAUCAGAGAUUAGGAUGCUUGAUGCAAAAAUGAGAAAUUAUUACAAGGAUUUUCAAGGUUUCUUUUGCAAUUGUCGUUGUGGAGUUGAAUGACUCGCCGUUGUCAAUUGAAGAGUUGUUGAAUGAGUGUUUGGUUGGAGGAGAAUCUAUGGUGAUUAAGGAGUUGCAUGGAUUUCACUUGGGUUCAACUUAUUUGGUUAUGUUACUUUGGUUCAAGGAGAUGUAAAAGAGGUUGUUGAAUGCUUCCAACUAUGAAAUUCCUGUUGAAACCAUUGUGGUUUUGCAGAUUAUUUGACGAGUGGGGCAAGCGGAAAUGUAUGGUUCAGGUUGUUAGGCGUCAUCUAAAGGUUCGUUUGGGACUCCAAUCAGGGCGGGUUGUUGUGUGUCUGGUGCAGGAGUGCAUUGUUUCACUGUAAUUGUAUGAACGUCUCACUUAUAAAUGAUUUUCAAUGUUGUCAAAUUAGUUUUUUCUUGGACUAUAGCAAUACUCAAUGCACUAGAUUUUUCUAAUAAUUUUUCUUCAACUCACGGUCCGGUAGAUGCGGCACUGAUGGCAGUGCAUGGAUUGAUAGCAGU